rnacentral:rRNA from 1 species
UACGUAGGUGGCAAGCGUUGUCCGGAUUUACUGGGCGUAAAGGGCGUGCAGGCGGUUUGUUAAGUUCGAGGGUGAAAGCUCCCGGCUCAACUGGGAGAGGUCCUUGGAUACUGGCAGACUUGAGGAGGGUAGAGGAGAGUGGAAUUCCCGGUGUAGUGGUGAUAUGCGUAGAUAUCAGGAGGAACACCGGUGGCGAAGGCGGGUCUCUGGGCCGAUAUUGACGCUGAGGAGCGAAAGCGUGGGGAGCGAACAGG